GAUGAACGCUGGCGGCGUGCCUAACACAUGCCAGUCGAACGGAGAUUACGGACGGAAGUUUUCGGAUGGAAGAAUGUAAUUCUUAGUGGCGGACGGGUGAGUAACGCGUGGGCAACCUGCCCUAUACAGGGGGAUAGCAGCUGGAAACGGCUGGUAAGACCGCAUAAGUCGGUUAAAUCGCAUGAUUUGAUCGGGAAAUGAGCAAUCAGGUAUAGGAUGGGCCCGCGUCCGAUUAGCCAGUUGGCAGGGUAAAAGCCUACCAAAGCGACGAUCGGUAGCCGGACUGAGAGGUCGGACGGCCACAUUGGGACUGAGACACGGCCCAAACUCCUACGGGAGGCAGCAGUGGGGGAUAUUGCACAAUGGAGGAAACUCUGAUGCAGCGACGCCGCGUGAGUGAAGAAGUAUUUCGGUAUGUAAAGCUCUAUCAGCAGGGAAGAUGAUGACGGUACCUGACUAAGAAGCCCCGGCUAACUACGUG
rnacentral:rRNA from 1 species